UACGUAGGGUGCAAGCGUUAUCCGGAAUUAUUGGGCGUAAAGAGCUCGUAGGCGGUUUGUCGCGUCUGCCGUGAAAGUCCGGGGCUCAACUCCGGAUCUGCGGUGGGUACGGGCAGACUAGAGUGAUGUAGGGGAGACUGGAAUUCCUGGUGUAGCGGUGAAAAUGCGCAGAUAUCAGGAGGAACACCGAUGGCGAAGGCAGGUCUCUGGGCAUUAACUGACGCUGAGGAGCGAAAGCAUGGGGAGCGAACAGG
rnacentral:rRNA from 1 species